CAGAAGCACUACCAAGAGAUGAGCACUCUGCAGGCUACGGUGUCCAAGCUGAAGCUGGAUCUGGAGCAGGAGCUGGAGAGGUGGAGGUAGGGGAUAUGAGAGGCAGCCAAGGCCGAUCAGAGAGGGAGAGAGCUGAGACGAGCUCAGCACAGCACAGGCCUCUCAUAAAGAGUAUAUGGAGCUGCUGGCUGAGUACAGUCGAGAGGUGACGGCCCAGAGGAGUGAGCAGGCCCGUCUGCAGCAGUGCCUGAUCCAGCUGACAGAGGAGAGGGAGACUCAGGAGGAGAGAGUCAAACAGAUGAGCGCAGAUCUACAGAGAGCGCACAGUGAGAGCAGGUGCUCUCAGGAGGAGCUCUGGCUUUUAAAAAUAAUUGCUGUUGGUGCUGCAGCCAUAUCAGAGGAAGGCCAGUAAUGAUUCUCGCCAGUCGUGUGGAACGCGGCAUGUGGGGAAGCGGGUGGAGACAGACGCGAGAAUAAAGGCGGCUAUCAUUUCUAUGCCCGGGCGUGUGAGGGGCGACUGGCGGAGCUGCACACCCAGCUGACACACUCACAGCAGCAGAUGACGGCCCUGCAGGCCAGAGACGAGGAAGUGCUCAUGCUGAAGAUGGAGAUGGUCUCUCUCAGAGACAACUACACUGCUUAAGUAGCUCAGGUUGAGGCUUUGCUCUCACAGAUGGACGCUGUCAAUCAGAAGUACAGCACAGCUGUGUGUGAGGCCGAUGUUCUGCGGCAGUGUUUAGGAGACACACGGAGUGACAGCUCUCGACUUCACAGGGAAAGCGAGCUAGUCGUGACAAUGUGAACCAGUGGGUGAAGGAGCAAAAGCACACUAAUGAGAAACUGGCACUCAAGAUCAAAGACCAGAGCAGGAAGAUCAUCCACCUGACAGCUGAGAGAGAUCACCUUCAGGAGAAUGUGAAGGGUUUAUAGGGGGAAAUCAGGAGGCUGAAAGCAGAGCUGGAUAGAGAGAGAAUGGAAGCAGAGCGAAUGAAGUGAAGAAUGAGGCAGAGGAAGAAGAAAGCACUUCCUGACCACCAGCAGCGCAAGUCUGUGCCAGUCAGUGCCUGAUCGACGUGGAUGGCUAUAGAAUUGUUUUCUGCAAACAAACUCACUCUUCGAUCCUUUCUUCAUCACUGACUCGAUGAGUUCUAGAAAAAUACGAUUAUCAAAUGAUGACUUAUAAUGACCUUAUGACAUAUAAAUGUCCAAAAUAGCCAAUCAAAUCAAUUUGCCGACUUCUGUCCAUCAAACACACUCAAUUGUCUGUCUGUCUGUCUCCUAUUUGGCAAAUUCCCAGCAUUAUGGUAAAAGGGUCUUGUUGUGGUGCAUGUACUUCAGAUACGAGGUAUGCUGAGAGGCUAGUGAAUGUUUGUUCCAUUCCUGAAACCAGUCAUUAGUCUCGAAAAAGGACUAAACUUCUGAAUGAUCAUCCAAAAGCAAAACAUCUCUAUGUUUGCACAAAGGAAAGGAAUAGAAUACAGUGUGAUAAAUGUUUACAAAAAGGAGAAUCAUUAUGUUCCUGGUUUGUUUGUUGAAGUUGUAAAAAAUACUGGUUUACUUUGGAUGUUUGUACUUGUAGUAAAAGUGUUGUAGAAUGUGCAAGCAAAAUUUAUAUUAUGAUUCUGACAUUUGACCCACAAAUUUCAUGGUUAAAUGCAGGUGCACAGACCCAAAAUAGUUCAUGCAUAUGAUUUUUUUAAUAUUUUUGUUGUUAAUGCCAUGCCCUACUGUUUGAGCUUCAGAAAAGCGCAC